GGACUUUUUUGAAUAUUUUAGAUUAAAAUGGGUUAAAAUAAUUCUUUAAAAAACCUAGUAAUAUGCACCAUGUAAUUGGUGGUUGGAUGCAGCAGUGCAAUAAUACUACCAAGGCUCAACACUUAGGAGGGGUAGGGGCAGUUUUUUGGUCCAUAUGGUUGUCUCGUAAUGAUAUUGUCUUCAUUAAACGUUCUAAUGUCACUCUAAUCCUCGCAAUUUUCAGGUGGAUUUAUUGGCUACGCUUUUGGAGAUUGGUGCAAAGAGAGGACCAACAGGAGGAUGUACUAAAGACAUGCCAAGAAAUAUUCUAUUAUUUCUUAUUAAGGCAUAUUAAGUAUUUGAAAAAGUCUGACUUCAUAAGUUUUGAUCAACGAUUAGUUAAAUAGUAUCUAUGCUUAGUGGAAAUGAGUUAUACAGCUAUUUCACAUAUUUUCAAUAUGAUAUUAAUUUUAUAAUAAUUGAUAAUGUAUUCCAAGAUAAAUCAAUGGUCAAUUUUUUUUCCAAAUACGUGGAAUCUAUUUUUUUGAAACACACAAACGAUCACAAAUACACGCACACUCACCCCUAUAAAAUACGCACGCAACCCUACC
rnacentral:lncRNA from 1 species